rnacentral:tRNA from 1 species
AGGGUCGAGGCUAAGGUAGCCGGGUGGUUUCCAAGUCCACCGCCGAGAGAGUUCGAUUCUCUACGACCCUGCCA